CCUGAGAACCCCCUGUAACAUUUCGUGAACCCCCAGUUUGGGAACCACUGACCUAGCAUGAUGAGGCCUUGAUCUCAUAUGAGGCCUCUAGGAGCCACUGCCGUACAAAUAAAACUCUGUAUGCUUUGUGUGUGUCAUGUAGGUGUGCACAUUGUGUAUCCAGACAUACUACACACAGCGAUAUCUGGGCUGUGUGUGUUUAGUCCCUGUGUCUAGGAUUUGUGUAUAUAUGCUAGACUUGCUUAUGUCUGUGACCACCGAUGUGUUUGUGUAGGUUUGAACAGUUGUGCAUAUUGUAGAGCAUAUGGCUGUGUGGUUAUUUUCUAGUUGUGAUUUGUACACCUCAGUAUGUGGUUUUGGUUUCGUGUCCUCUGAGCGAGUGAGGCAGGAGGGAACUGAUAGUCUCACUCCUCUGCAGUGGUACCAGCAAGAGCAGCAGGAACUGAAGCACAAUCUCCUCCCCCAUCCUCCUCCAGACUCUCUCACUCACUGCCUUGCUCGGAGUGGGGCGGAGGUCAGCUAAGCCAGCCAGCCGGAGUCAGGAGCUGGGAAGACAGAAGAUCUGUGCUGCCACACCUCAGUGAAUUUCCUUAUAUCCCAGCGCUUCCCAGGGAUCCCCUGCUCUCAAAAACAUUUUACCAGGAAACAUCUCAUGGGGAAUUCUACAGCAUCAACAAUUUUCCUGCAAGCUAUUAUUAGAUUACCUAUGUUAUAUUAGAUGCAUCAUAUAGCUUAUUGACAUGCCUCUGAAAUCAGUCCUUCAAAGUACAUAUUCAUAUUUGGGGUGAUACUAAUUAUCUAACAAUAAAUGAGAGAGCCAGGAAUAGAAUUGAAGAGUCUUGACUCCCAGGCCUGUGCUUUGACUCCUAAAUCAUGUUUCAUCUCACUUGGUGGAUACAAAUCUUGUCAUUCAGGUUCACAUUUGGGUAUCUUCUGUAAUAUAAAAGUUCCUAACUUUGCUAUAUGCUGUAUUUGUCUGUCUAAUUUAGAGUUGAGCAACGUUUUUUAGCUGUUUGUGUGAACUUUUUUUUCAGAUCCAAUAAGCGCAGGUUUGCAGCUACUAGUUUAGUUUGGGGGUUUGUGGUUCAAACAAGUGCAAAAACUCAAAGGGAAAUGGUCAAAAACAGAAUUUCACUUGGCUUUGCCAAAGCCAUGGAUUCUGUGUGGCUUUGACUAAACCAAGUCUUGCCAACUUUUGCAAACUUAAGAUGAGCUGAGUUACCAGCUUUUCCAAAACCAGGUGAGAUUUGCAUGGUGUCAGAUUUUAUAAUGAAAGUUUUAUAAAGUUCAUAGCUUAUUCCUUUUGUUCACAAAGAGCAUAGGCCACGUAAAGAGUUCAGCCAUUUUAUGGGAAGAACAGCUGUGAUGAAAACAGCAAAUGACUGUCUGUGGACUGCUGAUGAAGUCUAUAAUUCUUCCCCCCAACUACUUCCCAUUCCUGUACCAUUGGUGUUGGAAAUCUAGUCUCCCAACUCCCUUCUAUUAAACUGACCUUCCAUUAUUAUACAUACAUGGGCACCCAUUGCACUGAGCUAUAGCACAAUAUAGACCACACAAUUUGUAAAUCUGUCAUUGCUGAAUCUGUCUCCUUCACUAUUAACUUCUCUAAAGUCUGCUUUGUGCUGGCCAAGACAAUAGGGUAGGAAAAGGUUCUAAACAUGAAGUUGUAUUUAUGUUUUGUUACAUGCAACAUUUAGAAUGCAUAGAAGCCCUGUAGACGUUAUUUGAUAGAGUUCGCAUCACCCCAUAUGGAGUAUAUUGCAAUUGAUUUUAUCCUGGUAUGGUACACCCCCAGGGCACUAACAAAUACAUGAAAACUUAUAUUAAUACAAAGUUUAAUUCCUGCAUAGAAGAUGGCUGUACAGUUCUCCUUGAGAGUCAAAUGAUUUUAAUAGUUAUUUAGGGUGGGAAUUUUCGUAAGUACUCAGUGUUGGUCUAGUUCUGCUCCCAUUGAAGUAAUGCUGACUUUAAUGAGAGCAGAGCUAUGCCAAUACCGAGCACUGACUUCAAUGGGAGCAGAGAUAGGCUGAAUGCUUUUGAACACAACACCUUUAAUUGCUUAGUACAGUUUCUACAUUAAAUUAACAGCAGUCUAAAAGUUAAAAAGGCUUCAAAGUAACUCACAAACAGGAUUCUAGAAUCAAGUGAUGAUCUUUGAUCUUUUAUUUUGCAGGAACUCAUUAUGAAAAGUUCAAUCCUGUGGCAUGCUGAGCAUUCUCCAUUUUCAGUUAUACCAGGGGAAGAUGUGGCUGCUCAACACCUCACAGGACUGGGCACAAAACAGAGAAAGCUCACCGUACCUGAAUGCUCAGUAGGUCAUUUAGAGAAAGUGACAAACCAAAAUUAAUCUGCAACACAUGUGCUUUGUUCUCAAUAUUUUAAAACUUACCGGCUACAAUAGCGAAAUCAGCUUCAACGUCACAAGCUAUAACAUCUCCAUUUUUUAUGUGCUUCCUUACAGCUUCUUUUACUUUUCCCAUUCCAAGUUCAUUUCCUCCAUCCCCAAUGCCUUCAUUAAAAAAUAAAAAAGAUCCCAUGAGUAUCCAAACCACCUUACAAAUACAAACCCAUUUAUAAGCUAUCCAGUGCCUCUCACAAGGGUCUGUGUAUAACAGGUUAGCCCUCUUGAACUGUUUCAAAAGUGUCACAAAACAGGAGAUCACAAAAACAAUAGGUGAAAACAUUGUAGAGAGGGGGUGUGGUCUCCCUCCCUGACGGAUGGGGAGAGAGUUGCGACUGCCCCCUGGUUCCAUGAUUGCAUCAUUCAUGGGUAAAGCGAUUUUAGAUUAUGCUGAUGUUUGCAGGAUUGGGGGAGGACAGCAUAUGCUUCUUAGCCACCAUUUUAGCUUGGUGGUCUGUCAUAUGAGUCACAGACAAAGAAGAGCCCCUGUGAGAGGCUGUAGUUGGUGAACUGUGUUCUGGGGGGUCCAUGCUUCUGGUUCAGAUGUUAGCUGGAGAGACUUCUCCAUGAGCAGCAGUUUAAGCUGCAAGUCUCUGGCUUUCCUGGUCCGGGCUGUCAAUUUGUGACAAUGAGGGUACUUUUGAGGCAUGUGUGCUUUGCCUAAGCAGCGAACACACUGAGCAUGCCCGUCCGACACUGGGCUUGAUAGCCUACAGGUGAGGCACUGUUUAAAGCCCAGAGAACCAGGCAUGUCCCUGAGGAGAAAGUUUCAUCCUCCUCCAAGGGGGGAGGUGUGAGUAACGGUUCAACAAAAACCUAUUUCUAGUUGGGAUACAAAUAAGGUGGUGUUUUUUUUAAAUAAACAGGGACUAGAAAAUGAAAGGAGUUAACUAUCUCUAACAAAACUAGAACUAACUAAGGUAUACUACACUAACUAAGCUCUUUGAGGCACUGCUGAAUGCUCCAAUUUGUAGCCACGGACAGUAGAGAAGGAACUGAGGGGGGGUUGGUCGCACAGUGGCAGUUAACCGCCUGAGGCGGCACGAGAUGGGGACUGCGCAUGUGCAAUCUAACCAGGCACUACUACCACAAAUCUCCGAUUACAAGCACAGGAGCGCUCAACACCUUAAGUGGAGCACCCAUAGGGACAUCACUUGAAGAAGAAAUAUAAUUAAGAUAUAUUUUGUACAAAGUAUGCUUUGUGAGGUAUCAUUCUAAAAGUAUUAAUAUGUUAAACAUUAAUACUCUGUUGGAUUGUAUUUGUUGUUAUUGUAUGUGAAGUUAUGAAGUUUUGCUAAGUAUGUGUUACUUGAAAGAUGUGAAGUUGGAAACACCCACAACUAGCCUUUCACGUACAACAAUGAAGAAGCUGAACAGUGCUAAUGACCCAUCAACAAAGACAAUGGACCAUGGAAAAGGCUUGUCCUCACCUGGGAACCCUUCAGACAGCCUGUGGAUAGCUGCUAUGACUCAGUGAGGCAUGCAAGGGCACGUGACCAGACCACAUGAUAUUGAACUCCAUUUUAGUACCUGUAUUUUUCCACAAAGGGGGCUGGGAACUUGGCUUAGAACAAAGGGGUUCCCACCCUAUGAAGAAACUAUAAAAGAUGGGGAGUGACAUCAUUUCAGGGCCUCACUCCCCACACAAGAGAACACCUGAGGAACAAAGACUGAACCGGGGGAAGUGCUGGUUCCAGGCUAAAAUGAUUUCUAGCCUGUGUAUGGAAGCUUGAUGGACUGUUUGUACUAUCUAACAGGGUGAGACACUGUUUGAUUAAAAUCCUGUGUAGUAUGUUAGGCUUAGAUUGCAUUCUUGU